UUCUCCUGGAAAACGGGUGGUAAUGCCGGAUGCUCCGACUCCUCGCAUGGGGUGUCGGGAAAGAUUUCAUCGGUAUGGGAUGGGGUCGCGUCCUAUCAGGUAGUCGGCGGGGUAACGGCCCACCGAGCCUACGACGGGUAGCCGGCCUGAGAGGGCGACCGGCCACAUUGGGACUGAGAUACGGCCCAGACUCCUACGGGAGGCAGCAGUGGGGAAUAUUGCACAAUGGGCGCAAGCCUGAUGCAGCGACGCCGCGUGCGGGAUGACGGCCUUCGGGUUGUAAACCGCUUUUGAUCGGGAGCAAGCCUUCGGGUGAGUGUACCUUUCGAAUAAGCACCGGCUAACUACGUGCCAGCAGCCGCGGUAAUACGUAGGGUGCAAGCGUUAUCCGGAAUUAUUGGGCGUAAAGGGCUCGUAGGCGGUUCGUCGCGUCCGGUGUGAAAGUCCAUCGCUUAACGGUGGAUCUGCGCCGGGUACGGGCGGGCUGGAGUGCGGUAGGGGAGACUGGAAUUCCCGGUGUAACGGUGGAAUGUGUAGAUAUCGGCAAAAGAACACCA
rnacentral:rRNA from 1 species